UUUAUCAUGAUGCCAUUAUCCAUUUUCCAAUGUUUCUAUGAAAUGAGAUUUAUGAAAAGCAUGAUAUGUUUUAAGAACUCUCAGAUCGCUAUGUAUGACCCCCACCAGUGGGUAACAGUAACUAGGCAUAUGACCCCCGCCAGUGGGUAAAAGUAACUUGGCUUUACGACUCCCGCCAGUGGGUAAUAGUAACUGGAAGAUGACCCUGC
rnacentral:lncRNA from 1 species